rnacentral:rRNA from 1 species
UACGUAGGGGGCGAGCGUUGUCCGGAAUCACUGGGCGUAAAGGGUUCGCAGGCGGUUUACCAAGUCCGAUGUGAAAGGCAUGGGCUCAACCCAUGUAAGCAUUGGAAACUGGUAGACUUGAGUUAAGGAGAGGUAAGUGGAAUUCCUAGUGUAGCGGUGAAAUGCGUAGAUAUUAGGAAGAAUACCGGUGGCGAAGGCGACUUACUGGACUUAAACUGACGCUGAGGAACGAAAGCGUGGGGAGCAAACAGG